rnacentral:rRNA from 1 species
CUACGUGCCAGCAGCCGCGGUAAUACGUAUGUCGCAAGCGUUAUCCGGAAUUAUUGGGCAUAAAGGGCAUCUAGGCGGCCAGAUAAGUCUGGGGUGAAAACUUGCGGCUCAACCGCAAGCCUGCCCUGGAAACUAUGUGGCUAGAGUACUGGAGAGGUGGACGGAACUGCACGAGUAGAGGUGAAAUUCGUAGAUAUGUGCAGGAAUGCCGAUGAUGAAGAUAGUUCACUGGACGGUAACUGACGCUGAAGUGCGAAAGCUAGGGGAGCAAACAGGAUUAGAUACCCUGGCAGUCCUAGCUGUAAACGAUGAUUACUGGGUGUGGGCAUGAAGAGUGUCCGUGCCGAAGCUAAUGCGAUAAGUAAUCCGCCUGGGGAGUACGGCCGCAAGGCUGAAACUCAAAGGAAUUGACGGGGACCCGCACAAGCGGUGGAGCAUGUGGUUUAAUUCGACGCAACGCGAGGAACCUUACCAGAUCUUGACAUCC